GCGUUACCCGGAUUUACUGGGCGUAAAGGGCGUGUAGGCGGCCUGGGGCGUCCGAUGUGAAAGGCCACGGCUCAACCGUGGAGGAGCGUGGGAUACGCUCAGGCUAGAGGGUGGGAGAGGGUGGUGGAAUUCCCGGAGUAGCGGUGAAAUGCGCAGAUACCGGGAAGAACGCCGAUGGCGAAGGCAGCUACCUGGUCCACUUCUGACGCUGAGGCGCGAAAGCGUG
rnacentral:rRNA from 1 species